rnacentral:rRNA from 1 species
UACGUAGGGUGCAAGCGUUAAUCGGAAUUACUGGGCGUAAAGCGUGCGCAGGCGGUUAUGUAAGACAGAUGUGAAAUGCCCGGGCUUAACCUGGGAACUGCAUUUGUGACUGCAAGGCUGGAGUGCGGCAGAGGGGGAUGGAAUUCCGCGUGUAGCAGUGAAAUGCGUAGAUAUGCGGAGGAACACCGAUGGCGAAGGCAAUCCCCUGGGCCUGCACUGACGCUCAUGCACGAAAGCGUGGGGAGCAAACAGG